rnacentral:lncRNA from 1 species
AGGAAGGAAUAUUUUAUAUACAUAUAAAGGAAGAAUACUAUAUAUAUUUGUAUAUAUAUGUGCGUAUACAUAUGUAUCUACAUAAUGAAAUAUUAUUUAGUCUUAAAAGGGAAGUAAAUUCAGACACAUGCUACAACAUGGAUGAGCCUUGAGGACAUUAUGCUAAGUGAAAUAAGUCAGCCACAAAAAAACAAAUAUUGUAUAAUUCCACUUAUAUGAAGUAUCUAGAGUAGUCAAAUUCAUAGAAACAGAAAAUAGAAUGGUAGUUGCCAGGAGUUGUGGGUGGGAGAAAUGGAAAGUUAUUGUUUAAUGGGUACAGUUUCUGUUUUGCAAGAUGAAAAAGUUCUGGAGAUUGGAUGGCCAACAAUGUGGAUAUACUGAAGCACUGAAGUCUACACUUAAAAAUGAUUAAGAUGAUAACUUUAUGUUAUGUGCAUUUUCCAUAGUAAAAAACAAAAUCCCUUUUCCAAACCCCAUGUCACACAAACCUGUCCAAAAACCUCUUCAUUAACAGUGAAAGUGAGGUCUAAGAUGUCUGUGAUGUUGUUGUCCUUCAUCCACUGCAAACUCUGGUGGAAUUCCUCAUCCAAAUAUUCCAGGUCACUCAAAUCACAGGGCCUGGGUGAAUUCAGCGAGAAAGGCAAAUUACCAAACAAAUGGCUGCUCAGACCUCACUUCAAAAUGUGGUUAUAUCAUUCCUGGCUAAAACAUCACAGACUUAUCCUAACAAUUGGAUACUUUUGAAUCCACUGAUGAAUCAGAUCAUUCAGUCAUUUUAGUUCAUUCAAUGAUUUUCCUUUGAAAAGGAAAUGUGAAAUUGUUUACAAUAACAAACAUGAAAUAAUUAUUGACUCAGGGACUCUGCAUGAAAAUUGGAGAAAACUAUCAUUUUAAAACAAUUAUGCUAUAAACAGAUCAGUUCUACUUAACAGUUUAAUGCAAUGUUUGUAAUAUUAUUAUAAUUUUAUAUAAAAUGAUUCAUCUCCAUGAUAUGAGAUUUUGAUAAUAGAAUCUUCCCUUACAACAACAACAAAAUCCCCAAAUACCUUUUUAUUGUGCUAAAAAAUGUAUGUGAUAUCUAAGCACUCAGAACAGGAAGCCACCAUAACCCUAACAGGAAUGGUUAGGGCAAAAUAGUGACAAAAGGGUCAGUGGCACCAGAGAGGUCAGUGUCCUUGCCCUGCAGACAGGGCUGGGUUGGAAGCAUGGUCUGCAAAGCACUUACAGUCUCAGGAGUGCCUUGUAGAAGGGCCUCGUGAAGAAAGCAUCAAGAAGGUACUGAUGGAUCAGAGCCAGGCCCAGGAUGCGACCGCUAAACCUGAACCUGGAACACAGACAAGGCAGAGAAAUGGGCAAGUGGAAAUUUACAUUGUUAAAUAUUUUAGUUUGCACUUUUAUUUGAUGUGUUUGAGCAUUCAUCUUAAGCUGCUUAAGGAAUCUUCUCAUUGAUGACACAAGGGAGGCGCCUGUUCUCGUCCUUUUGCUUUACCAUGAACAAUCCCUGUGUGCUUGUUAGGGACUAAAGGAAGCCUCCUCUUCCAGCCAUGUAGCAGACUUGAGUCAUUUUUCCAGAACCUUUUUCAGACCGUGGAGAAUGAGGACCCAAGAAGAGAAAAGCACUGGGAAGGGGAAUUCAGAAAUCUUAGAUAAAAAGCCCACACUGAACUGGAAGAGGACCCAGAUCCAGUGACACAGAGGGCUUUCUGGAUGUGCGUCCUUACCCAUUCAAGCAUUUUAUCUACAUUACCUAAGGUCCAUGCUGGCAGGUGGAGGGUUUGAGUAUGGAGCCCAUAUGGCAGUUGUGCUUGCAGACAGUGGGGAAGAGUUACAUAGAAUCACAAUAUGGUAAGAGAUAAGCUGAAUGAGCAUCACUCUUUAAAAUUGCCAGCCACAUAAAAGACAGAACGAGGUCACUGCUAGGAAGAACUGGCCAUACAGAUCUGGCCACCUCCAGAUGUAAGUGCCUUUACUGAUUUAAAUGCUUGUCGGAACAUUGACUUCCUGAGCAUUUUGCAAGUAACCUGCUUAGCAAAAUGCUGAGGCUACCUGGGCUUGGUUCCAUUGUUGCCUGCUCCUAAACCAGCCUCUUGCCUGCCUGGUCUAGCAUCCUAUGCUUUCCCCACCAUGCGGGCCUUGCCUAUCUCUGGCACCUACUUUCAUAACUGGAGUCUUCCUGGUGUCCACUCUAAGUAGGUUUUCACCUAAUCGGGGAUUUAGUGGUGAAUUUUCUCAGAUCCUCCCUGGUGGAAUUUCCAACUAAUCUAUCUCCAAUGCCUUUUAUGUGGCUCGAUUACAUCACACACUUCCCUAGAGGUC